rnacentral:lncRNA from 1 species
UGGAAACAAAUGCACGGGGGUGUUUUCUUUGGUGGAUCCACAGUGCCUUCCCACCCCCCGCUCCUACCGCUGUCCCAAAUUUGGACUUUCACGGAAACGGAUUUCAUGCCUGGGCUUCCCGUGAACUCUCUUAAUUCAAUUGAGGGGCCAUUAUCGGCCGGGUGUAAUGGGCUGUUUCCGCAGCCGGGGGGAGGCCUGUGGAGGUGAGGGCUGGGUGCAUCUCUCCUCUGUAGGUGGGGGCCAGGCCGGGUGGGAUGACGGUCAGGGGAAGGACGGGGCUGAAGUCCCUGCCCUGGCAGGUGCCCGCAGGGGCACGGGGGAGGCCACGGCUCCCUUGAAUGGGGGGCUCCAGGCCCACAGCGGCAGGAGGCAGAGGAACCGGCAGGUCUAAGGCGGAAGCUGGUGGGCAGCCCAGGGCUUCAGAAAGCAGACCCUGUGGGGGCCUUUGGCUUUUGCUUUUAUUUUGAGCCUGAUCCAGAGCUGAGGCCCCUGACGGCCGGACCCGAUGCCCAGAUGCCCAAGGUGAGCUACAUGGGCCACAGACAGGUGCGGUCCUGGGCCCGACCUGCACUGGGCAGGUGCAGAGGGGCGGUGGGCUACCCAGGUGUCUCCACGGCCUCCUGCCCCUGUGGGCGUCUGUUCUGGCCCAUGGCCUGUGGGCAGGGACAGUGUCACUUCCAGCCUGGAGCAUGCUAGAGCCCAGCCCCACCUCCCGGUUCCUCCUUCCGCUCAUGGUGCCGUUGUUGGCAGCCUGGGGCCCCGGGUGACUUGUGGGGUGCAGGGCCCCAGUGAGCCGUAUGUGAGAAAUCAGACUUCUGGGAUGAAGCCUGAAAAUCCCACCCUUUGUGUCUGGGGCAGAACCCGCUUCUCCGGCUCACACCGCGGUCGGCAUCGGUGCCGCCCUCGGGCAUGCGUGGCCAGUGUGGGGGUCCGGCAGGCGGCAGGUGGAGCUGGGGCACCGUGGCCCAUGUGAUCAAGCGGCCGGCUCGCCCCGAGUGAGCGGCUCCGGGUGAGGAGUUGGGGAGCGAUCGUGGGGGCGGGGCUGGACCCGCGUGCAGUGCCCACAGGAAAGGAAGACAGGUGCCGGGCGGACAGCUGGCAGGACAGAAAGGAGCAGACGGUGCCCAGAAAGUCUGCCUCCAAGUCCGGCAGGACCAGAAGCUUCUGAACCCAGGAUGCCUCGGAGGGGUGAGGCCUCGGAAAAUCCAUAACGCCUCAAAUUGCCUCUGGCCAGAAUAAUGCGAAAUCAGACCCCGGGAGCUUUGUGCCACAGGAGAGAGCAGAGAGCAGAGAGAGCAUGUGUUUUGGGGCCGCGUAACAAACACCACAGUGACUGUUCUGUCCCAGUCCCAGAGGCUGGAAGUCAGGAGACUGGCGUGGGCAGGGCCGGU